rnacentral:rRNA from 1 species
AUACGUAGGGGGCGAGCGUUGUCCGGAAUGAUUGGGCGUAAAGGGCGCGUAGGCGGCCCGGUAAGUCUGGAGUGAAAGUCCUAUUUUUAAGAUGGGAAUUGCUUUGGAUACUGUCGGGCUUGAGUGCAGGAGAGGUAAGUGGAAUUCCCAGUGUAGCGGUGAAAUGCGUAGAGAUUGGGAGGAACACCAGUGGCGAAGGCGACUUACUGGACUGUAACUGACGCUGAGGCGCGAAAGUGUGGGGAGCAAACAGGAUUAGAUACCCUGGUAGUCCACACUGUAAACGAUGAAUGCUAGGUGUAGGGGGUAUCGACCCCUUCUGUGCCGCAGUCAACACAAUAAGCAUUCCGCCUGGGGAGUACGGCCGCAAGGUUGAAACUCAAAUGAAUUGACGGGG